rnacentral:rRNA from 1 species
CMACGGCWUCCUUMAAUGCAGUCGAACGGUAACGGGCCUUCGGGUGCCGACGAGUGGCGAACGGGUGAGUAAUGCAUCGGAACGUACCUUUCAGUGGGGGAUAACGUAGCGAAMGUUACGCUAAUACCGCAUAUUCUGUGAGCAGGAAAGCAGGGGAUCGCAAGACCUUGCGCUGAUUGAGCGGCCGAUGUCAGAUUAGCUAGUUGGUGAGGUAAAGGCUCACCAAGGCGACGAUCUGUAGCGGGUCUGAGAGGAUGAUCCGCCACACUGGAACUGAGACACGGUCCAGACUCCUACGGGAGGCAGCAGUGGGGAAUUUUGGACAAUGGGGGCAACCCUGAUCCAGCCAUGCCGCGUGAGUGAAGAAGGCCUUCGGGUUGUAAAGCUCUUUCGGCCGGGAAGAAAUCGCAUGGGUUAAUACCCUGUGGAAUGACGGUACCGGCAUAAGAAGCACGGCUAACUACGUGCCAGCAGCCGCGGUAAUACGUAGGGUGCGAGCGUUAAUCGGAAUUACUGGGCGUAAAGCGUGCGCAGGCGGUUUUGUAAGACAGGCGUGAAAUCCCCGGGCUCAACCUGGGAACUGCGCUUGUGACUGCAAGGCUAGAGUACGGCAGAGGGGGGUGGAAUUCCACGUGUAGCAGUGAAAUGCGUAGAGAUGUGGAGGAACACCAAUGGCGAAGGCAGCCCCUGGGUCGAUACUGACGCUCAUGCACGAAAGCGUGGGUAGCAACAGGAUUAGAUACCCUGGUAGUCCACGCCCUAAACGAUGUCAACUAGGUGUUGGGUGGGUAAAACCAUUUAGUACCGUAGCUAACGCGUGAAGUUGACCGCCUGGGGAGUACGGCCGCAAGGUUAAAACUCAAAGGAAUUGACGGGGACCCGCACAACGGUGGAUGAUGUGGAUUAAUUCGAUGCAACGCGAAAAACCUUACCUACCCUUGACAUGUCAGAAACUUGGCAGAGAUGCUUUGGUGCCCGAAAGGGAAUCUGAACACAGGUGCUGCAUGGCUGUCGUCAGCUCGUGUCGUGAGAUGUUGGGUUAAGUCCCGCAACGAGCGCAACCCUUGUCGUUAAUUGCCAUCAUUUAGUUGGGCACUUUAACGAGACUGCCGGUGACAAACCGGAGGAAGGUGGGGAUGACGUCAAGUCCUCAUGGCCCUUAUGGGUAGGGCUUCACACGUCAUACAAUGGUCGGUACAGAGGGUUGCCAAGCCGCGAGGUGGAGCCAAUCCCAGAAAGCCGAUCGUAGUCCGGAUUGCAGGCUGCAACUCGCCUGCAUGAAGUCGGAAUCGCUAGUAAUCGCGAUCAGCAGCGCUUUUACUA